rnacentral:lncRNA from 1 species
UAGAACUUUAGGCUGAGCUUGAUUCAGAGUUGAACUUCCACGGCGUCACAGAGCGUAGACUAGAAACAAUUACCAAGGGCAGAACACUAUGAAGAGUUUCUAGGUCAGUGUUGCUGAGGUAAAUUCUCCAAAGCCUUUUAAUGAAAUCCAAAUAGAGCAAAAUGGACUGCUUUAAACUGAUUACUGUGAGUGUUCAGGACAGGAGUAGAAAGACAAGACCUAGAGGAUAUCUUUGGAGUAGAGAAGAUAAUUUCACAGGCUUUUAAAUACAGUUUCUGUGGCCAAAGAAAAGCGGUGUUUGCUGAUCCCUUAACAUCUUGUGUCUAGAAACUGAUCCUGACUACUAUUGAAAUUCCAGGAUACUAUAUUUUCUUGGUGGUCACAGCUUAAACUCAGUAAAUUCCUUAUGACCAAGUUAUUUUGCACAGGAGCGCCACAAUGGCUUGCUAAGGAGGAACAAAUGGUCUUGCUGAUGAGAUAUACAGUGCUUGACACAUUUUCCACCAGUGGGAGCUACAUCGAAAGAUGAAGUGAGGCACUUGAGGAGGAGACUCCAAGCUUGACUCAACAUACAAGGGUAAGGGAUGUCAUUUAUUGCUCCUGAUGUGGAACCAGUGGGGACAGGGGUUUUGAGGGACUGUAGACAUGGAACAAUCUGGCUGAUUAUACAACAGUGAUAAAUGCCUUAACAAAGCAUGCAUCGGAAUUAGAAAUG